rnacentral:lncRNA from 1 species
GAACCAGUGCUUUAGAAACUCCACACAGUUAAGCAGUGCGUCUGCUUACUGUCUGUUAUAUAACUUUAGACCCAAGGACAAUGCUUGACAGGGUCAGUAUUCAAAAAUCUGUCCAAGGUGCCUUUGUUUGGUGCUCUCCGACGAGUGUUUAAGCAAUAUAUGCACAAGGUUUCUUCUCACAGCUGCCAAAACUAGAAUUGGAGAUGCUAGAGAGGAAGAUGUAGAAAAUGGGCAAAAUAUCAGCCUGAUACCAUGAGGAUGAAUGAGAGCUUACCCUUGCCUCUCCACAACCACAGCAGUUUGGUGAUUUUGGACCAGUCUGAAAAUGUAGAAAGUGAGCUGAGACUUAUUUCAGCUGAGCAUUUCUCAAAGUAUGACAUAUGAGGCAGCACUUGAGAUGAUUUUAGGGUGUGUGGACAAACUUUGUUAUCAUGUCAAUUAUAGAUAUAUCUAAUGACCAUAGAAAAUGUUAUUUGUCCCUUAAAUCUCUGCCAUCUGCCUCAUAUGUUGUUUUUCCAGAAUGAAACCAAGUAAAAACAGUGAGACUGAAUAAUUGUAC